GAAGUAUAUCAAGGGUGCUACAAAGUUCCUUGUCUCACAAAGCUCAGUGACCUCCAAUUUUUUAUCGGGGAGAUCAUGGCUGAUGACAACACCCUGGUCUUUGCUUACUACAAGGAUGGUGCCACUAACCCAACAUUCUUGUGCUUCCCCCAUUGUCUCAAUGAGGUCAAGUGCUCGAAGAUCAAACUAGGUGUCUUAAUGAUCUUUGGUGGUGUUUUUUGUAGUUGUAUUACUUAAAAUACUUAGUUUCGGUUUUCGUGCAUUGCUA